rnacentral:rRNA from 1 species
ACGGAAGGCAGCAGUGGGGAAUAUUGCACAAUGGGCGAAAGCCUGAUGUAGCGACGCCGCGUGAGUGAAGAAGUUAUUCGUAAUGUAAAGCUCUAUCAGCAGGGAAGAAAAUGACGGUACCUGACUAAGAAGCCCCGGCUAACUACGUGCCAGCAGCCGCGGUAAUACGUAGGGGGCAAGCGUUAUCCGGAUUUACUGGGUGUAAAGGGAGCGUAGACGGCAAAGCAAGUCUGAAGUGAAAUCCCGGGGCUCAACCCUGGAACUGCUUUGGAAACUGUUUAGCUAGAGUGCAGGAGAGGUAAGUGGAAUUCCUAGUGUAGCGGUGAAAUGCGUAGAUAUUAGGAGGAACACCAGUGGCGAAGGCGGCUUACUGGACUGUAACUGACGUUGAGGCUCGAAAGCGUGGGGAGCAAACAGGAUUAGAUACCCUGGUA